UUUAUGGAGAGUUUGAUCCUGGCUCAGGACUAACGCUGGCGGCGUGCCUAACACAUGCAAGUCGAACGAGGUAGCAAUACCUAGUGGCAGACGGGUGAGUAACGCGUGGUCAACCUUCCCUACAGUGGGGGAUAACUAGCCGAAAGGUUAGCUAAUACCGCAUGACAUCUUUGAGAGGCAUCUUUUAAAGAUAAAAGGAGCAAUCCGCUGAAGGACGGGACCGCGUCCCAUUAGCUAGUUGGUGGGGUAAUGGCCUACCAAGGCAACGAUGGGUAGCUGGUUUGAGAGAGCGACCAGCCACACUGGGACUGAGAAACGGCCCAGACUCCUACGGGAGGCAGCAGUGAGGAAUUUUCCGCAAUGGGCGAAAGCCUGACGGAGCGACGCCGCGUGUGGGAAGAAGGCCUUCGGGUCGUAAACCACUGUCGAAGGGGACGAUAAUGACGGUACCCUUGGAGGAAGCCCCGGCUAACUACGUGCCAGCAGCCGCGGUAAGACGUAGGGGGCAAGCGUUAUUCGGAAUCAUUGGGCGUAAAGCGCUCGUAGGCGGAUC
rnacentral:rRNA from 1 species